AGGCAUGGGAAUUGAGAGGCAUAGAUUCUGCUGUAUAUUUUAAUGUCAGCCAUGUUCUAUAUUUGACGUGAAGAAUCCAUUAGCUUAACUGACAAGAUUUCUGAUAACAAAUGCCAAACUGUUUUGUUUUUGUUAUAAUUGAAAAGGCUUUCUACGAUGUCAUGUGCUCUUUGACUUUGGGUGAAGUUUAUAACUAGUUUUUGUAGUCAUAAUACUUCUUUUAGCAGAAUAUUUGCAUAUUAUUUAAUAAAAAUGACAAACCAUAGCUUUGCCUUACGAUGAUUUUACUUUAUUCAGGGUUGGACUUGCAGUAAUUGUUCACUUACAACAAGUUUGACAUGAUUCUUCUUUAGUUGUAGUAAUGGCUCUUCAUACUUUGCUUCAUGCAUAUAAUUAGUUUAUCACGAUUACGAGUACGAUUUUCGUGACAUAGCUGUUGUGCUAAAUUUUAAAUUAGCUUUAAGUAUGAGUAUCCAUAGCUAUUAAAAUUAGUUGAAUAGAUUUAGGGCGUGUCGUACUAAGUAAGAUAUAGUUAUGGCCCUCCGGAGUUUAGCUCGAAUUCCUUUUAAAAUUGGAAUUGAGGCAUGCUGUGCCAAAUAAAAUCUCAAAUGCAACGCCGUCGUUUAAAUUAUUCUUGUUUAUCCUUAGAUUCUGAGGCGUGCCAUUUAGCGAAUUUCAUGGCCCUCGCAAAGUGGGAACGUGUAGUUGCUUUAGGCACGUGUUUAAUAACAUUAAUUUCCUAAAUUCGGGUGCACAUUUAUGUGACCCAAAUCCGAAUCCCAACAAAGUUGAAAUGUGUCAAAAAUCACGGGUGCAUUUAUGUGACGUGGUUGGAGGCAUGUUUUAACGAUGUUGCAAUUUUCUUUAAUAAUAAAAGUUGUUAAAAGAUUAAAAAAAUGCACAUAGGUUCAUAAUUGUAUAAAAAUCAGAUAAUUUAAGCCAAAUAUAACAGUUGAGCGACCGUGCUAGAACCACAGAACUUGAGAGUGCCUAACACCUUCUUUCGGGUUAACAAAAUUCCUUACCCGGAUUUCUGCUUCGCAGACUGUUAAACAGAGUCAUUCUUUCCUCGAUUCGGGAUUCUAAACGGUGACUUGGGACAUUAUAAAUCUCCCAAGUGGCGACUCUGAAAUUCUCUUAAAUAAUUUAAUCCCGUUUCGAUUGUCCUUUAAUUGGAAAAACUCCCUUAUCUACGCCCUACGCCGGAUCGUAGUAACAAAAAGGAGGUGUGACAAGCACAGUAUGAACUAUGGCUAGCUAAUGCAAAAUGAUAAACCUAACGAGCCAUCUGAGUGGGCCUAUAAGGACGGCCCCUGCUGUGGUAGGAUUUCCACCCAAAAGGAAGACCGCCGAAACCACCCGAAUCAUGAGGCCUUUUAUCCUCUCUCUCUCCCCAUGCUCCUGACUAUGGACCAACUCUAGCCAUCAAGUGAUGUCAACCACCUCGUCAAACCUAGCACCUGAUGUAUUCUCCCGAGUCAUAAAAAAAUGCAACUGAUAGCUAAGGCCAUCAAUUAACCUCCUAAUCCUCUCCCUCUCUAUGAGAGCCAACCAGAUCGCAUGACGAGCCAAUUCUGAAAAUCUCAUCUCGUAUUGGGUCACCUACAUUCCUUCAUAGCAUAGCUUCUCAAACUGUAUAUGCAACUCUUCCCUACGGGUUGGUGGCACAAAUUUCUCCAAGAAAAAUGGCACAGUAUCGGCUGGUCCUGCUCUGCUCAUAGGCCCUCCAACAUUUAAAUCCCGUCAGCUGAAAAGUAGUAAAUGAGGGCCCAAUAGUUUACAAAAUACCUUUAUGCGAAGAUUCCGCAGGCACCUAUCCAAGAAUUCCCGAGCAUCCUUAAACUCAGGCCCACUAAAUCUUGGAGGCUUGAACCUCC
rnacentral:lncRNA from 1 species